rnacentral:rRNA from 1 species
GACGAACGCUGGCGGCGGGCUUAACACAUGAAAGUCGAACGGAAAGGCCCUGCUUUGGUGGGGUGCUCGAGUGGCAAACGGGUGAGUAACACGUGAGUAACCUGCCCUGGACUUUGGGUUAACUUCGGGAAACUGGGGCUAAUACCGGAUAGGAGCUCCUGCUGCAGGGGGGGGGUUGGAAAGUUUCGGCGGUUGGGGAUGGACUCGCGGCUUAUCAGCUUGUUGGUGGGGUAGUGGCUUACCAAGGCUUUGACGGGUAGCCGGCCUGAGAGGGUGACCGGCCACAUUGGGACUGAGAUACGGCCCAGACUCCUACGGGAGGCAGCAGUGGGGAAUAUUGCACAAUGGGCGGAAGCCUGAUGCAGCAACGCCGCGUGCGGGAUGACGGCCUUCGGGUUGUAAACCGCUUUCGCCUGUGACGAAGCGUGAGUGACGGUAAUGGGUAAAGAAGCACCGGCUAACUACGUG